rnacentral:tRNA from 1 species
UGAGAUAUGGUGUAAUGGUAGCACAAGAGAUUCUGGCUCUCUUGGUCCGGGUUCGAAUCCUGGUAUCUCAACCA